GCACUCAUAGUUUAACGGAUAAAACAAACCCCUCCUAAGGGUUAGCUCUGGGUUCGAUUCCCGGUGAGUGCG
rnacentral:tRNA from 1 species